UUGGUUAAGUUAGAAAGGGCGCACGGUGGAUGCCUUGGCACUAGGAGCCGAAGAAGGACGGGACUAACACCGAUAUGCUUUGGGGAGCUGUACGUAAGCGUUGAUCCAGAGAUUUCCGAAUGGGGGAACCCACUAUCUUUAGUCGGAUAGUAUCCUUACGUGAAUACAUAGCGUGAGGAAGGCAGACCCAGGGAACUGAAACAUCUAAGUACCUGGAGGAAGAGAAAGAAAAAUCGAUUUCCUGAGUAGCGGCGAGCGAAACGGAAAGAGCCCAAACCAAGAAGCUUGCUUCUUGGGGUUGUAGGACACUCUAUACGGAGUUACAAAAGAAAGUUAUAAAUGAAGCGGUCUGGAAAGGCCCGCCAAAGACGGUAACAGCCCGGUAGUUGAAAUGGCUUUCCCUCCAGAGUGGAUCCUGAGUACGGCGGAACACGUGAAAUUCCGUCGGAAUCCGGGAGGACCAUCUCCCAAGGCUAAAUACUCCCUAGUGACCGAUAGUGAACCAGUACCGUGAGGGAAAGGUGAAAAGCACCCCGGAAGGGGAGUGAAACAGUUCCUGAAACCGUGUGCCUACAAGUAGUUAGAGCCCGUUAAUGGGUGAUAGCGUGCCUUUUGUAGAAUGAACCGGCGAGUUACGAUUUGUUGCAAGGUUAAGCGGAAAAAGCGGAGCCGUAGCGAAAGCGAGUCUGAAUAGGGCGCAUAAGUAACAGGUCGUAGACCCGAAACCAGGUGAUCUACCCAUGUCCAGGAUGAAGGUAAGGUAAUACUUACUGGAGGUCCGAACCCACGCACGUUGAAAAGUGCGGGGAUGAGGUGUGGGUAGCGGAGAAAUUCCAAUCGAACUUGGAGAUAGCUGGUUCUCUCCGAAAUAGCUUUAGGGCUAGCCUCGAGGUAAAGAGUCAUGGAGGUAGAGCACUGUUUGGACUAGGGGCCCUUCUCGGGUUACCGAAUUCAGAUAAACUCCGAAUGCCAUGUACUUAUACUCGGGAGUCAGACUGCGAGUGAUAAGAUCCGUAGUCGAAAGGGAAACAGCCCAGACCACCAGUUAAGGUCCCCAAAUAUAUGUUAAGUGGAAAAGGAUGUGGGGUUGCUUAGACAACCAGGAUGUUGGCUUAGAAGCAGCCACCAUUGAAAGAGUGCGUAAUAGCUCACUGGUCGAGUGACCCCGCGCCGAAAAUGUACCGGGGCUAAACAUAUUACCGAAACUG
rnacentral:rRNA from 1 species